UGGACGAUGAGUCUUACGAUCUCUCC
rnacentral:piRNA from 1 species